UUGUUUCCAAUAAUAUACAAUCGAACAGUCUUUGAAAGAACACAAAUCUACACAUACAGACAACUAAAUCCUUUUCCGUUUCUUAAUCGGCCAGAUCCAAGAUCUAUUAGUUUCUAUAUUCUAUCAGUUUUUUCUUCCUAUUGAAGCAGCUGAUUGGGUACAAUAUCUCUGACGACGAUUCUGAUCCUGUCAAUCGGGCAAGAAGCAACAUAUUGAGGUAAAACAGUUCAUGACUUCUAUUAAUUUUGUAUAUGUCAUCCUUUAUGUGAAAGUAGGUAUAGAAUUUGACUCCAAUCAAGCGGUGCCGAUUUGGUGUACUAUUAUUGUUGACUAUAAAACCUUAAUCGAGUUUGGGUAUUUUGAUAAAUCCUUUCUGAGUAGUAAAAAAAGUGUUUCAGGUUUACGGAAUCAAUCAUUCACUUUAAUGAUUGUUUGUGAGUGUGAUGUUUUUUUCAUUCUCGAAGUCGUGCUAUUUAUAGUAGUUAGUUUAGUGUAUAAGGUAGUUGUGAUAUAAUAUGAAGAAUCGAUUCCAAAUUCGAAUAAUUCCCUUGAUUCCGGGUAUCAUCGUAAUCAUAGGUGAUUUUUUCCUUAACUGAUUUCUAUCAGUUAGCGUAUAAGAUCUAAUUACGAUGACUCAAUAUUAAUGGAGUCGUUUCUGACGCAGGGAUUCUUUAAUGGGAUUAUAUCGAUUCUUAUUUGAAUCUUGAUUUUCUCCGAAAUUUUUGCAUUGGUGAUUCUGUCAAUCAUAAAUCGGGCAUAGCAAGAUAUGCGGAAAGAGAUAUGCAGAGAUAUUCAAUGGAGGAUAUUUCGUUUUGAUGAAGAACAGUUGGACGUAAUGGAGGACACGUAUAGUUGGGCUUAAUGUAAAUGGGCCACUAA
rnacentral:lncRNA from 1 species